ensembl:lncRNA
GUCCGGGUGGGCUUUCACAGGAGGCGAGUUUUUUGUUCUUGGUGUUUUGGGGCUCCCUCAUGGACUCUUAGCGCGCACGUUUUAAUGCGCGGAUUCCUCCCUGGCUGUUCCUCAUGACCUUGAUCUCCGCGCAGGGCCGCGCGCACAUCGGGUAACGCACCAAGUUCCCAUCAGGGUCUCCAAGUUUGCUGUUAGGAGGCUCGCGCUUUGGUGAAACCAUUCAUGGUGUUGGCAUGACUGCCCAAGACUCCUUUAGAAUCCCCUCGGAUCCAAUCCCGUAUACUACAUUGCAUUUAAUUGUUGUGUCAUCCUGGUUUCCUCUGGUUGAAGGGUGGAGAUGAAAGUUCCCAGCCUCUCAUCAAAGCUUGCUUAGUCUUUCUGGCAACCAGCUCCAGUCCUGAAGUUGUCCAGGGGGUCUCAAGCCACCGGUAAUCUCAUUGUCACACAAAAGAUACUAAUCACUCUGGAGACUCUAAGAGUUUUAGGAGUUGUGCACCAGUAAUGAGUGAUAAAGACUAAAUGUUUUUUAAGAAUAACACAGCCAUCAUAAAGAAAUUAAAUGUGCUACAUGGCUCCAAACAAAAGAAAGAUCCCAUCCAUUUUUGAAAGACCUCAUAAUAUCAUACAAUGCUAAAGAAUUUAGGCUCUUCCUGACCUGUGUUUGACUUUUGGGACAGAUCUCAUAGCCACUCUCUGCCUCUUCAGUGAUAUCCUCAAUCCAUGAAAUGGGACAACGUCAAUUUCCCCAGACAGAGGAUCAGUGACCUCAGAUCUCUCAGAGCAUAGGGGCUUCUUGCUGUGCAGUCUUAUUUCAUUUGCUUAUCUGUUCAGUCUUCCAUGGAGUUUAGCUCUGUUGCCAUUUUUUUAUUGUUGUUUCCAGAAACCCCAAUAAGAUGAGGAGAUUACUGUUUGAAACUUACAAUCCCAUCAUUUGUCACCCUAUGAGAGAUAAAAAAU